GAGGGUAUAGCUCAGUUGGUAGAGUGCUUGCUUCGCAUGCAUGAGGUCUUGGGUUCAAUCCCCUGUCUCUCCA
rnacentral:tRNA from 1 species